UACGUAGGGGGCGAGCGUUGUCCGGAUUUAUUGGGCGUAAAGAGUCUCGAUAGGCGGUUUGGUAAGUCGGGUGUGAAAUCUCCACGCUCAACGUGGAGGGGCCACUCGGUACUGCCAUGACUCGAGUCCGGUAGAGGAGUGUGGAAUUCCCGGUGUAGCGGUGAAAUGCGCAGAUAUCGGGAGGAACACCCGUAGCGAAAGGCGGCACUCUGGGCCGGAACUGACGCUGAGGAGCGGAAAGCGUGGGGAGCAAACAGGA
rnacentral:rRNA from 1 species